AUGCGGUCUAGGACCGGCAUCAAGGCACGUAACAAGAUAAAUUGGUCCCAGGUGAGCAUAAUGUAUGGUCAUGUAAUGUCACAAAUUGGAAGGAAAUAGUCAACGCAAGGCAUGGAUAACGAGUCAAUGGAUUUAACUUGCGCCAGGUAUGUAUAAAGGUUAUGCUUUUAAUAGGAUCUUUUGGCUCGACUAGAGAGUGAUGUGUCAGAAUAAGAUAACUAAUACGUAUAUGUAAGGAUGUAUUUACAAAUUAAACUUCCAAAAAGUCAAACGGAGUGAAAUAAAAAUUAAGAAGGCAAGUGAUAGAAAAAUAGAAAGAAAAUUUUUGCCCCCCCCUA
rnacentral:lncRNA from 1 species